AGCGAACGCUGGCGGCAGGCCUAACACAUGCAAGUCGAACGAACCUUUCGGGGUUAGUGGCUGACGGGUGAGUAACACGUGGGAACGUGCCUUUAGGUUCGGAAUAACUCAGGGAAACUUGUGCUAAUACCGAAUGUGCCCUUCGGGGGAAAGAUUAAUCGCCUUUAGAGCGGCCCGCGUCUUAUUAGCUAGUUGGUUGAGGUAAUGGCUCACCAGGGCGACGAUCAGUAGCUGGUCUGAGAGGAUGAUCAGCCACAUUGGCACUGAGACACGGCCCAAACUACUACGGGAGGCAGCAGUGGGGAAUCUUGCGCAAUGGGCGAAAGCCUGACGCAGCCAUGCCGCGUGAAUGAUGAAGGUCUUAGGAUUGUAAAAUUCUUUCACCGGGGACGAUAAUGACGGUACCCGGAGAAGAAGCCCCGGCUAACUUCGUG
rnacentral:rRNA from 1 species